AUUGAACGCUGGCGGCAGGCCUAACACAUGCAAGUCGAGCGAGCGGCGGACGGGUGAGUAAUGUAUGGGGACUGCCCGAUAGAGGGGGAUAACUACUGGAAACGGUGGCUAAUACCGCAUACUGUCGGAUAACCCAUAUGGGAUUAGCUAGUGGGUAAGGUAAUGGCUUACCUAGGCGACGAUCCCUAGCUGGUCUGAGAGGAUGAUCAGCCACAAUGGGACUGAGACACGGACCAGACUCAUACGGAGGAAGCAGUUGGGAAUAUUACACAAUGGGCUCAAGCCUGAUGCAGCCAUGCCGGGUGUAUGAAGAAGGCCUUCGGGUUGUAAACUACGUUCGACAGGGACGCGGUACCUGUAUAAGAAGCACCGGCUAACUACGUGCCAGCAGCCGCGGUAAUAC
rnacentral:rRNA from 1 species